UACGUAGGGACCAAGCGUUGUUCGGAUUUACUGGGCGUAAAGGGCGCGUAGGCGGCAAAUUAAGUCAUCUGUGAAAUCUCCGAGCUUAACUCGGAACGGUCAGGUGAUACUGAUCUGCUAGAGUGCGGAAGGGGCAAUCGGAAUUCUUGGUGUAGCGGUGGAAUGCGCAGAUAUCAGGAAGAACAUCCGUGGCGAAGGCGGCUCUCUGGUACGUGACUGACGCUGAGACGCGAAAGCGUGGGGAGCGAACAGG
rnacentral:rRNA from 1 species